UACGGGGGGGGCAAGCGUUGUUCGGAAUUACUGGGCGUAAAGGGCUCGUAGGCGGCCAACUAAGUCAGACGUGAAAUCCCUCGGCUUAACCGGGGAACUGCGUCUGAUACUGGAUGGCUUGAGUUUGGGAGAGGGAUGCGGAAUUCCAGGUGUAGCGGUGAAAUGCGUAGAUAUCCGGAGGAACACCGGUGGCGAAGGCGGCAUCCUGGACCAAUACUGACGCUGAGGAGCGAAAGCCAGGGGAGCAAACGGG
rnacentral:rRNA from 1 species